rnacentral:misc_RNA from 1 species
GGGUCAACAACCAAACCUUUCAGGUAUGGAACUUUUAUUCCAGAUAUUAUAAUUCCUACAUUAGUAUCUAGGCAUGCUCUUUUUUCUUCUUUUUUUUUAUAAAAAAAACGUAGUCUCUGUUCAUGUUGGGUGCUCUUAUUCUGCACAUACCAAGAAAUUAUGGGGAUAAAUCCUGAGGGCUGUCGUCCACUAAAUGGGACAUAGUUGUAUGACUUCAACUUGGGAUGAAAUACUUCACAAGGGCUAAGAAUCCCUAGAUGCUCAGCUUAACCAAAUCCCUUGCAUCUUUUUUCCCUUUCAUGUGCAUGCAUGUUUAAAUGCAGGUGGACUAAUGGAGGUGUUUUUCAACAAAGCAUCAUCCUUGCUUCCUUCAGCAUAUUCUGAUCAGUCUUCCUUGCCACUUGUAGCACUUGCAUUUCUAUCUUUGCUGCUGCUCAGUUCCAUGAGAUCCCAAGUUCAUUUCUUACAUCUAUAAUCUCCUCUGCCCUUACAAGCUGUAUAAUCUAAUCUUAUUUUCGAAUUCUAAUAGUUCGCGGCUAAAUAGAUCAUGAUUAUUUAGAAUCAACUUCCAUGUUUAUUGCAUCAUUUUUUAUGAUCAAUUAAUUUUUAUCUGCACAUGAUGACCUUUCUAAUUUUUUUUUUUAAUUUUCUGCUAUUUACAAUUUUAAUAUUUUUGGUCCUAUAAAGUUGAAUGAACUGUACAUUUUUCUGUUAAAG